rnacentral:lncRNA from 10 species
AACAACAGGGGGAAGAUGGCUCAGAGUUAGGCUGGAGAGGGGCGGUGUCCCUUCCGCCGCAGCCGCGGGGUUUCUGCUACAUCCCAUUCGCCACCUCCGCCAUCCUUUUUUCUGUGUGAGCAGAAGGGCUUGCAGUUGUUCUCUCCUGCCUAGUGUCUUCCAAGGGAUAGAUGCCAUUUCUUCUGCUGGUCUCUGGGGGUGAGGAGGGGCGCAGGGGAGCUUCUUGGGGGAAUCGCUCCAACUCUGUGGAGCUGGUGGUGCUGCCUGGUGGGGCUCUCUCUGCCCAGGACGUGGAACAACUUUCAGCCGGAGGACUAGAGGAAAUAGUUGUAGGGGAGGAAAAAUUGUUUCCUUCUAGCCUUUUAGGUCAUUUGGCUGGUCUACAAAUUAAAUUGAUGUAAGACAGAGGAACAUGAGAAAAACGAUUUGUCGACCGAAAGGUGAAAUAACAGGUACUAAAACUUAAAGAAAUCAUGGUUAGUUUUAUUACUCGGCCAAGUUUGAGGACUUAAGCCUGGGAACACAGACUCAGUAUAGACCGAGAACGUGUCCCAAAGUAAGUUAGCUGGGAGUAUAACCUGAAGAAGACUGAGUUUUAAUACCCAGAAUAUUUGAGUAUCAAUAUCUAGACUACUGUGUCAUUUUGUCGCCAAAGUAAUUUUUUAUGAAUCCAGUUUUGCACCAAAUACCAAUAUGACUUAAAUGUUGUCUGAUUGUGAGGCCUAAGAUGGUCACAGUCUCAUUUAUCUUUCUUCCUCAACAAAAACAUUUUCCAUAUAUUACAUAUUAUUUUGAAUGGGUAGAGACUAAAGCCACGUUUCUAUAAUUUCAGGAUUUUAAACAUUUUGUAGACGAUAACAUUCGUCUUGAAGCUGUGGACAAUCUAAAACAGAAAUGGAGUUCCAAAUUUUGUUUUUGUAAUAUGGCCCGUCAACUGCACAUGGGAAGAAUGUGGGUACUCUGAAAUAUGAUUUCUAUUUUAACUAGUUAUACUAUAUCAUAGGUCUGAUUAUCAUCUAUAUGAGAUGUUAAAGCUGUAGGAGUAUAGUCAAUUAGACUACAAACCCUGGUAGUAAAUUUCCAGGAGGAAAGGGGUCCAUAUGUUUUUUAUAAGUGUAAACCUUGUGUUUCUGAAUCUAAGAGGGUUGGCCAUGUUUGGAGACUAUUUCAGCUUCUAUGUGAAUUAACAUAUUAAUUAUUCUUGUUGAAAGACAUGGAAGAUCUUGAUAUGGUUUGACCCUGUAUCCUCACC